rnacentral:rRNA from 1 species
UACGUAGGGGGCGAGCGUUGUCCGGAAUUACUGGGCGUAAAGAGCGCGCAGGCGGUCGUUCAAGUCGAGUGUGAAAGCCCCCGGCUCAACUGGGGAGGGUCACUCGAUACUGAUCGACUUGAAGGCAGGAGAGGGAAGCGGAAUUCCCGGUGUAGUGGUGAAAUGCGUAGAUAUCGGGAGGAACACCAGUGGCGAAGGCGGCUUCCUGGCCUGUUCUUGACGCUGAGGCGCGAAAGCUAGGGGAGCAAACGGG